GGGGGAAAGAUUUAUCGCCUUUAGAGCGGCCCGCGUCUGAUUAGCUAGUUGGUGAGGUAAAGGCUCACCAAGGCGACGAUCAGUAGCUGGUCUGAGAGGAUGAUCAGCCACAUUGGGACUGAGACACGGCCCAAACUCCUACGGGAGGCAGCAGUGGGGAAUCUUGCGCAAUGGGCGAAAGCCUGACGCAGCCAUGCCGCGUGAAUGAUGAAGGUCUUAGGAUUGUAAAAUUCUUUCACCGGGGACGAUAAUGACGGUACCCGGAGAAGAAGCCCCGGCUAACUUCGUGCCAGCAGCCGCGGUAAUACGAAGGGGGCUAGCGUUGCUCGGAAUUACUGGGCGUAAAGGGAGCGUAGGCGGACAUUUAAGUCAGGGGUGAAAUCCCGGGGCUCAACCUCGGAAUUGCCUUUGAUACUGGGUGUCUUGAGUAUGAGAGAGGUGUGUGGAACUCCGAGUGUAGAGGUGAAAUUCGUAGAUAUUCGGAAGAACACCAGUGGCGAAGGCGACACACUGGCUCAUUACUGACGCUGAGGCUCGAAAGCGUGGGGAGCAAACAGGAUUAGAUACCCUGGUAGUCCACGCCGUAAACGAUGA
rnacentral:rRNA from 1 species